GCCGCGAUAGCUCAGUGGUAGAGCGCAGCCCUGAAGAGGCUGGCGUCGGGGGUUCAAUUCCCUCUCGCGGCACCA
rnacentral:tRNA from 1 species